rnacentral:sRNA from 1 species
AGCCCUGAUGAAGGUUUUGCAGCUGCCUAUAUAUAGGGAACUGUCCUAGAAAAAGCGGAUUCGUGCUCAACGACCGCGGGCAGUCGUGUUUCCCUUCCUUUUUAUUCCCACGCCGUUCUAGAUGUGUCUUCCAAACCUCACUAUCAAGAAAGCGUCUGUUGAAACAAAUUGAAGCGUUUGCAACACAUUUGUCAACAUGGAGGGCCUUCCACCGCCGUCCAAAGCACCACCUUUCCCUAUCGUAACGGCUGAUCAGAGGUCAGUUCUGGGAGUUGCAAUUGCCUUCGCCAUCAUUCCGGCACUGGCAGUUAUGUUGCGUAUGCUUGCUCGACACGUUGCGAACAGAUCGUUGGAUGCAAGUGACUAUUGUAUUAUCGUCGCAUGUAUAUUUGCGGUAGCUUUGGAGUCCGUCAGUAUCACUG